rnacentral:rRNA from 1 species
GAUGAACGCUGGCGGCGUGCCUAAUACAUGCAAGUCGAGCGAACGGACGAGAAGCUUGCUUCUCUGAUGUUAGCGGCGGACGGGUGAGUAACACGUGGAUAACCUACCUAUAAGACUGGGAUAACUUCGGGAAACCGGAGCUAAUACCGGAUAAUAUUUUGAACCGCAUGGUUCAAAAGUGAAAGACGGUCUUGCUGUCACUUAUAGAUGGAUCCGCGCUGCAUUAGCUAGUUGGUAAGGUAACGGCUUACCAAGGCAACGAUGCAUAGCCGACCUGAGAGGGUGAUCGGCCACACUGGAACUGAGACACGGUCCAGACUCCUACGGGAGGCAGCAGUAGGGAAUCUUCCGCAAUGGGCGCAAGCCUGACGGAGCAACGCCGCGUGAGUGAUGAAGGUCUUCGGAUCGUAAAACUCUGUUAUUAGGGAAGAACAUAUGUGUAAGUAACUGUGCACAUCUUGACGGUACCUAAUCAGAAAGCCACGGCUAACUACGUGCCAGCAGCCGCGGUAAUACGUAGGUGGCAAGCGUUAUCCGGAAUUAUUGGGCGUAAAGCGCGCGUAGGCGGUUUUUUAAGUCUGAUGUGAAAGCCCACGGCUCAACCGUGGAGGGUCAUUGGAAACUGGAAAACUUGAGUGCAGAAGAGGAAAGUGGAAUUCCAUGUGUAGCGGUGAAAUGCGCAGAGAUAUGGAGGAACACCAGUGGCGAAGGCGACUUUCUGGUCUGUAACUGACGCUGAUGUGCGAAAGCGUGGGGAUCAAACAGGAUUAGAUACCCUGGUAGUCCACGCCGUAAACGAUGAGUGCUAAGUGUUAGGGGGUUUCCGCCCCUUAGUGCUGCAGCUAACGCAUUAAGCACUCCGCCUGGGGAGUACGACCGCAAGGUUGAAACUCAAAGGAAUUGACGGGGACCCGCACAAGCGGUGGAGCAUGUGGUUUAAUUCGAAGCAACGCGAAGAACCUUACCAAAUCUUGACAUCCUUUGACAACUCUAGAGAUAGAGCCUUCCCCUUCGGGGGACAAAGUGACAGGUGGUGCAUGGUUGCCGUCAGCUCGUGUCGUGAGAUGUUGGGUUAAGUCCCGCAACGAGCGCAACCCUUAAGCUUAGUUGCCAUCAUUAAGUUGGGCACUCUAAGUUGACUGCCGGUGACAAACCGGAGGAAGGUGGGGAUGACGUCAAAUCAUCAUGCCCCUUAUGAUUUGGGCUACACACGUGCUACAAUGGACAAUACAAAGGGCAGCGAAACCGCGAGGUCAAGCAAAUCCCAUAAAGUUGUUCUCAGUUCGGAUUGUAGUCUGCAACUCGACUACAUGAAGCUGGAAUCGCUAGUAAUCGUAGAUCAGCAUGCUACGGUGAAUACGUUCCCGGGUCU